GAUGGAAUUGCCAGAGCAGCUGGGGCUGCCCCUGGAUCCCUGGCAGUGCCCAAGGCCAGGCUGGACAUUGGGAGCAGCUGGGACAGUGGGAGGUGUCCCUGCCAUGGCUGGGCUGGGAAUGGGUGGGAUUUGGGGUCCCUCCCAACCCAAACAUUCUGGGAUUCUCUAAUUCCAUGAAACAGCCUCUCUGAAUUUCCUGUGCUCAGCCCAGAAUCCUGGAAGCAUUCAUGGACGGUUUCCCUGGGCCAGCACAAGGUGCAGGUUCCUGUGAGGAAAGUCCCACCCAGAGGAGUUUUCUGCAGACAUUGCCCCAAGCAGCUGAGCAGGAACAAUAUUUUGGAAUUUUUUUGAGGAGUGCUGAAAGAAAAGAGAAGGAUUUUAACCCUUGAGUCACUUGAAAAACACCCUCUGAGCCCAGAGAACCAGAACUCAGCUGCUAUUGCACAAUCCCAUCAGUCUUUGAGCAUUCUGAAAAACCUGAUUUGAAAUCCUUUUAUAACCAGUCUUUCCUGGAAGUCCCAUUAAAAAAUUCCAAUAAAUGCCAGCUCGAUAUAAGAGGGGCUUAAUUCUGAAAAUCCUGAGGAGUAGAAGAUGACCUGAGCCUCAUCCCUUGAUUUCUUUCCUCCCUUUCUCCUCCCUCACAGCCCUUCAGUUCAGCUCUUUUCCCAUUUUGUUGUCUGUUCAGGUGGUGUGGAUUGAUCAGAGCAGAACCUUUGGGAUUUACCAGCCACUCCUGGAAGGGCCAAAGCCACCAUGACCCAUCAAUUCCUGCCAGCCCCAAGAACAGAUGAAAGAGGCUCGUUUUUGUUUUUUCUAAAGAGAGAAGCGUUGGAGCGAGCCUUGGGAAGCCUGGCUGAGGUUUGGAGCUGGUUUUUCAUCUUUCAUUGGAGCUCAGAUGUCAGCAGGGAAACACACACAGAAAGCAGAGAUUUGCUUUGGAAACAACCACAAAAAGCGGCUCUGAAGCUGCUGACCGGUGACCCCAGCACAAAAGUGGAGGUAGCAGAGCCGCAAAUACAUUAAAAAUUAAUCAUAUUUAUCCCUCCCUGUAUUUAAAGACCAGUUUAAGUUCUGAACUUCUCCCAGGCUGCCCAGGAGCUGCCUUGGAUUUGUUCUUGGCUGUAAAGUGGGGCUGGUGACAUUCCCAAAGCCCAGAAAUUCUGGGUGUCUCCUUGAAACCCUUUGGUGAAAGAGCAGAAACAAAACCGCGCCAGCUCUAAAAGGAAAUCCCUGCAGACAAAAACCUCAACAAUUUCGUCUCGUUGCCGUUGUUAUCGACCAAAGUUUGCGGUGUUUUCCUAUCAAACCCCCGUGAAUUCUGCUGCUCGAGCAGGGACUUGGGAGAUGACCUGGGCAGGAGCAGGGAGAGGCUCCCAGGAGCUGGAUUUCAUUUGGAAUUCCGAUCCAGCCCACGGCUCCAGCUCCAAGCCCUUUAUUCCCGCAAGUGGCGC
rnacentral:lncRNA from 1 species